rnacentral:rRNA from 1 species
GAUGAACGCUGGCGGCGUGCCUAAUACAUGCAAGUCGAGCGAACGGACGAGAAGCUUGCUUCUCUGAUGUUAGCGGCGGACGGGUGAGUAACACGUGGAUAACCUACCUAUAAGACUGGGAUGACUUCGGGAAACCGGAGCUAAUACCGGAUAAUAUUUUGAAUCGCAUGGUUCAAAAGUGAAAGACGGUCUUGCUGUCACUUAUAGAUGGAUCCGCGCUGCAUUAGCUAGUUGGUAAGGUAACGGCUUACCAAGGCAACGAUGCAUAGCCGACCUGAGAGGGUGAUCGGCCACACUGGAACUGAGACACGGUCCAGACUCCUACGGGAGGCAGCAGUAGGGAAUCUUCCGCAAUGGGCGAAAGCCUGACGGAGCAACGCCGCGUGAGUGAUGAAGGUCUUCGGAUCGUAAAACUCUGUUAUUAGGGAAGAACAUAUGUGUAAGUAACUGUGCACAUCUUGACGGUACCUAAUCAGAAAGCCACGGCUAACUACGUG